rnacentral:rRNA from 1 species
GUUUUCUGCUGUCCUAGCCUUCAAUUCAAUGUAGUGGUUUCUUGCAAUUUACUCCAGCCAAGUUGAAGAUUGAUCCGCACGCAGAGGCAGUGCAUUCUCGGAGGCCGGAGGGGACAAGCAUGAGCGCUACAGUCAUCCACCGGGAAAGAAGAAGAAAAAGAAUGUCAAAGCACGAGCGAGGCCAAAAUAUAGUGUAGAGUGGUGUCGUAGGUCCAUCCAUCCAGGCAGCUUCCGUCGAUCCACUUGAGCAAGACGAGACGAGGCGACCUACCGUAGCGACUCCACAAGCGUCGCUGUGUGGCCGGAGUCUUUCGCCGGCCUACGGCUAGCCGCCCACUCCACACCUCGUGGCCAAUCGAUCCACCCAUCAGCCGCGCACCGCCAUGCCACCGCGGCCUCACGUAGUACCACGGACGACGCCCCGUCAUCUGAUCGCGACGCCGAUCGCAUGACGGCACUGCGCUCGUCGCACGCACGCUCCUUCACGGGCAAGCCAAGCCAGCCCCAGAUCGACGCACCAAGACAAAUCGCCGUGUCGACCCCCCGUCCGAUCACCUUCGCCGCCAAGAAACCGACGAGAGAAGAGGAGAAGAGUUCGAGCUAGCCCGCCGGAGAUGCGAGGGGUGGACGGGGCGGCGGCGGCGGCGGGGGUGUGGGGCGGGCUCAACUCCGGGGUGGUGCUCAGCAUCAUCGCGGUGCUGUGGACGGUGGUGUGGCAGAACCUGCAGCACCUGCAGCUGCAGCACUUCGUCAAGCGCAACCUCGGCCGCCACGCGCGCCGCCUCGCCGCGCUCGUCGACCCCUACCUCUCCGUCACCAUCGCCGAGUACGACGGCGGGAGGAUGCGCCGCGCCGAGGCCUUCGAGGAGGUCAAGGCCUACCUCGCCGCGGCCACCUCGCGCAGCGCGCGCCACCUCCGCGCCGAGGGAGCCCCGGACGCCGACCGCCUCGUGCUCAGCAUGGUCGACGGCGAGGAGGUCCCCGACCAGCUGUUGCCCGAGGAGGGCGGCGGCGCGGUCUUCUGGUGGGCCUCCUCACGCCCGGCGCCGCCGCAGGACCGGCGCUGGGGCGGCGGCUGGGGAGGCGGGGACGAGGAGAACCGCCGCUUCUACCGCCUCUCCUUCCUCGACCGCCACCGCGAGCAGGUCCUCAACGCCUACCUCCCGCGCGUCCGCCGCCAGGGCCGCGCCGUCAUGGUCCAGAACCGCCGCCGCAAGCUCUUCACCAACAUCUCCUCCCACCAGUUCGGCGACGGCGGCUACGCCCGCUCCGCCUGGACGCACGUGCCGUUCCAGCACCCCAAGACGUUCGCCACGCUCGCCAUGGACCCGGCCAGCAAGAAGGAGGUCAUCGACGACCUCGACGCCUUCAAGGCCGGCAAGGAGUGGUACGAGCGCGUCGGCAAGGCGUGGAAGCGCGGCUACCUGCUACACGGCCCUCCCGGGACGGGCAAGUCGGCCAUGAUCGCCGCCAUGGCGAACCACCUCGACUACGACGUGUACGACAUCGAGCUCACCUCCGUGCACUCCAACACGGACCUCCGCAAGCUCUUCAUCGGCACCACCAGCAAGUCCAUCAUCGUCAUCGAGGACAUCGACUGCUCCCUCGACCUCACCGGCGCGCGCGAAAAGAAGAAGGACGCCGCCCCCGAGGAGGUCGACAAGGCCAGCAAGGGCGACAAGAAGGGCGCGGCGGACGCGAGCAGCAAGGUGACGCUGUCGGGCCUGCUCAACUUCAUCGACGGGCUGUGGUCGGCGUGCGGCGGCGAGCGGGUGAUCGUGUUCACCACCAACCACCUGGAGAAGCUGGACCCGGCGCUCAUCCGGAGGGGCCGCAUGGACAAGCACAUCGAGAUGUCCUACUGCCGCGGGCCGGCGUUCGAGUUCCUCGCCAAGGCCUACCUGGGCGUGGACGAGCACGAGCUGUUCGGCGCCGUGGGCGCGCUGCUGCGGGAGGUGGACAUGACGCCGGCGGACGUGGCCGAGAACCUGACGCCCAAGAGCGCGGAGGACGACGCGGGGUCGUGCCUCAGGGGGCUGGUGGCGGCGCUGGAGAAGGCCAGGGACGACAAGGCCAGCGGCGGCGGCGGCGGCAAGGAGGAGAAGCGGCCGGAGGAAGAAGACGGGGGAGCGGUUGCCGCCGUUGACAAGGAGUGAUGGAUCGGGCGAGUGAGUCAGAGUAGCUCAGGAUGAGAAUAUCAUGAUGUCAGGCACAUUAUUGGAGAUGACGUUUAUUUCUACUACUCCAGCAAGUAAUGAUGACGCUUAGAAUAAUCAGACCCAGAUUUGGAUGUUGGCGGGAAUGGAAAGGCUGGCGGCCACGUCUUCUAUACCUGCUCAUUUGGCAUUGUUAAGCUUCGAAAAUGCCAAAUGGAGGCCGAAUUUAAAAACUUCAAAAUCAAACUUUCCAGUUUCAAUUAUUAUUAUUUUGAAAAAAUACACAUAUGCCUGAAGAUAUAAUAUACAUGUGUGUAAAUUUUCAGGUCGAAAUACCUUAAAAAGCUACAUACAAAAG